CACGACGUCCUUUGGACGUCCAAAAUAGGUCCAUUUUUGGUCCUUACGUCCAUGGACUAUAAACGGACGUCCUUUGGACGUCCCAUGUUGGACGUCCUUCGGAAGGAAUAAAUAUGGACGUCCUUUGGACGUCCGACGUUGGACGUCCUUCGGACGGAAUAAAUAUGGACGUCCUUUGGACGUCCGACGUUGAACGUCCUUUGGACGUCCAUACUGGACGAAAUACGGACGUUUUAUGAACGCUUAUAUAUUAUAUUGGACACAUUAUACCAAUUAACGGGAUCAAAUAGCAAAAUAAUUCAAUAAAAUAUUAACUUAGGCGUUAACUUUACGUUAAUGAAAUACAGUCAAACCUGUCAGUAACGGCCACUAAAAUGAAAGAACUAUUGGCCGAUAUAGAAAGGUGGCCGUUAUUGCCAGUUUUUGUAGUCUAGAUAUACAGUAAAACUUGUGUUACUGGCCACCUGUACUAACGGCCAGUUUAAAAAUUCCCCAAACCAAUUAUAUCUAGACUACAAAAACUGGCAAUACCGGUCACCUUUCUAUAUCGGCCAAUAGCUUUUUCAUUUUUAGUGGCCGUUACUGACAAGUUUUACUGUAAUUGGUUUGGGGAAUUUUUAAACUGGCCGUUAGUACAGGUGGCCGGUGUUUGCAGGGGGCCGGUAACACAGGUUUUACUGUAGUUUAAAUCGAAAAGAUUAAAUCUUAAUUCAAAAUUGUAUAUACAAUUAUUACAAUUAUAAACUAUAGUUUAAUAUCCAAAACAUGUUUUUGAUUUUAUGUAAUGUAAAGAAAAUCUUAUUUGUAAAUUAUUGGUUACAAUGUUUAACAAUAGGAAAUAUUCAAGAAUAAAUAAAAUAAAAGUUUAAUCCUAACAACACAAAACAUUCCAGGAAUGUAGGUAGGUACUACCGUUCUAUUCCGUGAACAUCUAUCUGAUUAAAUUAUGGGUGGAAAGUUACCACAAGAUAUUCUAUGUACAAUGUCUUCCUGGAGGGGUAAAAUUUUCCAUUACAAGAUUUUAAGAGAGGCCAUUUACUGUUCAAUUUGCGUUCAUUUUCAAAUUUGCCGCGCGAAUAUCUAUGUAGCGUCGCGUGGUCAUUGGUCAUCACAUUUCAUAUAAUUUCAUUUUCGUAAGAUAACCGAUAACCUAAAAAUUUAGUAAAAAUUUUGAUUGGAAAAAAAUGCAUCGAUAAGGGGGUGUGGGAAAUGGAAAUUAGUGGCUUUUUUGCUGUACUGUGUGCUAGUUUUUGCUCUGGGCUCUGGCUGGAUCUCUUGUUUAAACAAUUUUAAUCAGCUGAAAGUGGUCUACAAAAAAAAACAAGAAGGAAAUGUAUAGCCUUGUGGCUAUGAAAGGCAAAAGAGAGAUAUAAAAAGUGUAUUGGCUAGUUGGAAGAAAGUCCACAUUGUCCAUGCAUAAUAAGUUAUUACUUUAUCAACAAAUAUCAAGAAGAUAGCAGGAAGUCACGAGCAAUUGAACAACUUCAUAAGUUCAAGAAUAUCGAGGAAAUCCAGCUCCUCGAUACUACUGGGCAAACUAGAAGAUUGAAGAGGACAAAGCCUUUUGAACUAGUUUGAGUGAUAGGUGAUAGUGAAAAACGGAGCAUAGUGCUUGUGUGCUGUGCCUGUGUAUGUUAGAAUAGUGCACGAUCUUGUUAGAUUAGAUAAGAGACGCUAUGGGGUAAGCUCUUCAUUUUAAGAAACAGUAGUCAUUUAGGUUAAAUUAAAAUUGCUCCUUGGUCAGUUAUGACCAGAUUGUUUUUUUAUGUUUGGCAAAAAGGACUUAAGUCAGAAUUGCACAUUGAUAAAGUUUUGAUGAUUUCUGGACCAGAAAAAAACUGUUGUAGAUGUAAACUGUAUGUACAGUAGAAUCUACUACAGUACUGUAGAAAUCAUCAAAACAUUAUCGAUGUGCAAUUCUGACUUAAGCCCUUUUUCCCAAACAUUAGAGAAUUGUAAUGUACAAUAAUUCUCCUAUCUGCUUUUUCAUGAAUUUUGUAGGAGACGAAAAACCAUUUUUAGGAUCAUCUGCUUUCACAUGUAAAUUUUGACAUGUUUUGUAGUAAAUAGAUAGUUGAAUUUACUACAAAACAUGUCAAAAAAUAUAUGAAAACAGGAGGUGACUAUACAAGACUCAUGAAAAAACAAAUCGGAGGUAUGUCACAUCUGUGACUAUAUCCAGGGAAUGUCUAAAAAAUAUACUUUGAUGUCCCAAGAACCAAAUAUAACCUACAGUCCAUCUAAUUUACUUACUGUUGCACGUCAUUAUCUACGCCAGAGAUCUAAGUUGACAUAGUUGCCAAAGUAUAAAAAGAUCCUGAAUCCAUUUUAAAUCAAAUAUAUCACAUAAUUAUUGUAAACGUGGAUUAUACAACAAAACAAAUUAAUAUUCAAUGUAAAUAAGUAAAAACUUAAGAAAUAGAGAACAAGAAUUAAGUUAUAAUCUUUUAAGAUUUGCAGUGCAAGCGUUUUUGCACUGCAUUGUUAAUAAUUAAAAAACGGCUCCGAACUCUUGGCAAAAAGCCGGUAGGUUUCUUUGUAUAAGUAUGUCUACAAUAACAACUAAACAAGUUGUCAGAUACCACGAUGAUUAUUCCAAGUCGUUAUAAAAUUAGGUGAAAUUUAUAUUUUUAUAGUAGAGGAUCUUUUUAUAGUAAAGUAAAUAAUAAAGACAGUAAAUAUAAUAAAUAAAACAGAUACUUAUAGUAAAGAAUAUAAACAAAUAUGAAGUGUCAUCACCACAACUGUCAAAUAAAUGUUACCAAUUUAUUCUAAAAUGUCACCUUCGUUCGAUUACAGUUACAGUGUGAUCCGAACAAAUCUGCUUCAUAAAAACGCUUUAUAAUCCAUUUAUACAAAUUAAAUGAAACAUAUUAUUGUGUAUUUCUUUAGGUUAACAUUAAUAGAAAUCUUCAAAUAUUAUUUCUACGCGUAUAUAAUAAAAUAUGUCUAGAGUCUGUAUUUCCAGUGUACUCAGCAAAGUGAUUCUAAAAAAGAACACACCUACCGCCUAAAUAUGUCGUGUUGGUAUCAUGCGACCUCACAGACUACGACGCGGAUGACGCACAACAGUUAGUAAAUUAGACGAAGUAUGUAGAUAUAUACAGGGUGUAACAAAAAUACAGGUCAUAAAUUUAAUCACAUAUUCUGGGACCAAAAAUAGUUUGAUUGGACCUAACUUACCUUAGUACAAAUGUGCACACAAGAAAAGUUGCAGCCCUUUGGCUGCAACUAUCUUACGAAAAAACUAUAGUAAAAUUUGGACACCCCAUAAAAAUUUUAUGGGGGUUUUGUUCCUUUAAACCCCCCCAAACUUUUGUGCACGUUUCAAUUUAAUUAUUAUUGUAGUACCAUUUAAACACAACGUUUUAAAAACUUUUUUGCCUCUUAUUGCUUUUUCGAAAAGUCAAUUUUUAUCGAAAUAUUUUGAAUAUUUGUCAAAUCCACCACAUAUUUGUAUAUGGUUAAGUACGAUUAUGGAGACUUGGUAAUAAUAUGCAGACUUAUUUAUGCUUUACAUUUUUAGGUAUAUUUUGAACCAUAUUAAAAAAGAAGCCAGAUCUCGAUAAAAUGUGCCUUAUCGAAAAAAUACAAACAGGCAAAAAAGUUUUAAAAACAUUCUGUUUAACUAAUGGUACCUCAGUAAUAGUUUAAUUGGAACGUACACAAACAUUUGGGGGGUUUAAAGGAACAAAACCCCCAUAAAAUUUUUAUGUAGACAUGUUAAAAAAGAAGUCGCAACUCGAUAAAAACUGCCUUAUCUGAAAAAUACUAAGAAACAAAAAUAUUGAAUUUAACUAAUGGUACCUACCACAAUAAUAAAAUUGAAUUGGUACGUACACAAAAGUUUGGGAGGAUCUAAGGGAUCAAAACCCCCAUAAAAUUUUUAUGGGGUGCACAAGUUUCACCAUAAUUUUUGUUUAAGAUAUUCCUGCCAUAAUACUGCCACAUGUCCAUUUUCAAUAAAAAAUCGCUAAUAGUUUUCGAUAUAAUCGAAAAAAUCGAUUUUCAUUUUGUAAUUUCAAAGGGCUGUAACUUUUUUUAUGUGCAUAUUUGUACUAAGGUAAGUUAGGUUCAUUCGAACUAUUUUUGGUCCUAGAAUAUGUGAUUUAAUUUAUGACCUGUAUUUUUGUUACACCCUGUAUAUACAGCCGAUUACGCACCACCUUAAAAAUUGGGCAUUUUUGAUGUCUCGAAUUUCCUAAACCUGUUGUUGCAUCUAAGUGAUUUUUUUAUAAUAUUCUAGCCUAGGCCCUAGGCCAUAGGUUAAGUACCUCCUUAUGCUUGUCAUGCACGGGGAGCUAUACUGUAAUAUAUAUUAUAUCACACCGCUCUCUAUAGUAAUGAGUGAGCCUGUAGGUACAUACGGAACCAUUUGUUUCCUGUCUGCAGGCUCACUCAUUACUAUAGAGAGCGAUAUGAUAUAAUGUACAUAUAUUACAGCAUAGCUCCCUGUGCGUGACAAGCUUAAGGAGGUAACCUAUAGCCUAGGCUAUAAUAUUAUAAAAAAAUCACUUAGAUGAAACAACAGGUUUAGGAAAUACGAGACAUCAAAAAUACCCCAUAUUUAAGGUGGUGCGUUAAUUUCUUGGAGAAGUGUAUUGUAAUUUAAUGUAAAUAAUGUAAUAUCCAAUAAUUGUAAUUUAAUAUAAGAUGUAAUAUAAGUUCCUUAAAAAAUAUAUUUUUUAUUUCCCACGACAUUAGAUGGAUGUUCGGCAGCAAGACAUUGGACCAAACUAAGACGUCCUAUGAAGGCCCAAUUGACGUCCACUGAACGUCCCUUCGGAUGUUAAGUGGACCUCCAUUGGACGUUUGGCAACGUGGCAUUUGGACCAAAAUUGGACGUCCUGUUAAUGUCCAAUUCACGUCCCCUAGGACGUCCGGUUAAGGUCCAAUUUACUUCCGAUUAAGGUCCAAUUUACGUCCGAUUAAGGUCCCAUUUACGUCCGAUUAAGGUCCAAUUUACGUCCUAUUAAGGUCCAAUUUACGUCCGAUUAAGGUUCAAUUUACGUCCGAUUAAGGUCCAAUUUAUGUCCUAUUAAGGUCCAAUUUACGUCUGAUUAAGGUCCAAUUUACGUCCGAUUAAGGUCCAAUUUACGUCCCCUAGGACGUCCGAUCAAGGUCCAAAUUACGUCCGAUUAAGGUCCAAUAUACGUCCCCUCGGACCUUAGAUGGACGUCCAAUGGACGUUCGGUAGCGCGACAUUUGGACCAAAAUAGGACGUAUAAAGGACGUUCCUCGGACGAAAACGGACGUCCAAUGGACGUCCCUAAAGUCCG